UGCUUACCAAUGAUGGUUGAAAAAAAUGUCUGAACAAAUGAAAUCUAAUGAUAUCAGUAUUUUCUCUGAGGUAAGCU